rnacentral:lncRNA from 1 species
UUAAGAUUCACGGUUAUUACAGCUUAACCACUGAUGAACUCUGAGAUAGUUCGGGCACUGAAAUUCUGAGGUGAGUUUGCAGAGCAUCUUUCCAAACUGUAUUCGAACUUGUCUCCACAUGAUCUGAAUAGUUGGGCAUGCGUCUAGUUCUUACGAGCUCCCCAUGAGCUAGUAUAUCCUUCGGGAAGACUACGAUCAUCAAGCCUAUUCUACGAUCUGUGAGGUUGCACUACAAUCGUCGAGUUCACUUCAGAAUCUACUCUACGAACGUCGUCUAUUCUGGUCCUUGAGAUGAACUUGACUAAGCAUUCCUUCUGUGUUAAGGUAGCUCAGGAAGGGCCAACCUCUUAGAGUGAACAAAGGAUCAGGUUCGUCCCUGAGGCGCUUUCCAGAUGAAAAAACUUUAGAAGUGAUUAGCACUGAUAUCUAAUUUGACUUUUUCUGCUGGGGAGUUCAUCAACCAACUUUAGACAUUUGCAUUGGUUAUAAUCGGGGUGUCCUCCUGCUCUUACACUAUGAUCAGAUGUUUUGUGGUGACCCCAAAUCCGGAUACUUGAAACCCGAACUCGGUUCUCCACGAUACCAUUUUUUUAAGCUGAAUAAUACUAAAUAAUAAUAAUAAUAUAAUUCGAACUUAAUUUACAUACAUCAAAGUUUACUUUCCCAAGUACGUUACCUUCAAAUACAUUCCUUACAAUAUCUGACAAUAGAUUCCAUUGUCUUACUAACUAUAACCAUUAACUCAUACUAAAUCUCAUUCGAAUAGCUUUUCUUUUCCCUUGUUCGUGCCUGAGCCUUCAGGUCGAUCGUAGGUAACUGAAAACAUUUAGUUUAAGCAAGGAUGAGCAUUUGAGUGCCCANNN